GAUGAACGCUGGCGGCGUGCCUAAUACAUGCAAGUCGAGCGAACGGACGAGAAGCUUGCUUCUCUGAUGUUAGCGGCGGACGGGUGAGUAACACGUGGAUAACCUACCUAUAAGACUGGGAUAACUUCGGGAAACCGGAGCUAAUACCGGAUAAUAUUUUGAACCGCAUGGUUCAAAAGUGAAAGACGGUCUUGCUGUCACUUAUAGAUGGAUCCGCGCUGCAUUAGCUAGUUGGUAAGGUAACGGCUUACCAAGGCAACGAUGCAUAGCCGACCUGAGAGGGUGAGCGGCCACACUGGAACUGAGACACGGUCCAGCCUCCUACGGGAGGCAGCAGUAGGGAGUCUUCCGCAAUGGGCGAGAGCCUGACGGAGCAACGCCGCGUGAGUGAUGAAGGUCUUCGGUUCGUAAAACUCUGUUAUUAGGGAAGAACAUAUGUGUAAGUAACUGUGCACAUCUUGACGGUACCUAAUCAGAAAGCCCCGGCUAACUACGU
rnacentral:rRNA from 1 species